ACUCCCUUCGUCUUUCUUUCUCUUCUUUCGGGUUGGCUGUGCACCCAUUUUUCUACGGGUCGACCCAUUUGUGAUUUUCACUUUUCCCUUUUAUUAUUCUUUCCCUUCUUAUCAUUUCAGCUCCUCACGACCACAUGUUAACUCUUCCUUCUCUCUUUGACAAAAAAACACAAACCAAGCUUUGCUGUGGGUGGUCUUCAAGCUCCCACAGACCCAUCUUCAAAUCUAUCAAAUUUUCAACAAGUGAACUAGGCAUGGAAGGAGUAGGUGAUGAAAUCAGCUAUCAUCAUUACACGAAAGAUCUUGAACUCGGCAUCUUAUAGUCAUCUAUUCCAUUGUUCUAAAGUUGAAAUCAAGGCUGGGUAUCUCGAAUUUGAACAAAUUCCACUCUAACGGAGCUGUAUAAUGACUGGGUAACCUUGAAUUGCAGCAAUUAUAUGAGGCCCCAA